AGCAGCCGCGGUAAUUCCAGCUCCAAUAGCGUAUAUUAAAGUUGUUGCAGUUAAAAGCUCGUAGUUGAAUUUCGGGGUUCUACCGUUGGUCGGGCAAUAGUCUGUACUGGCGUGUAGAAUUUCUACCUUCUGGGGAACCAUCAUGUUAUUUAUUUAGCGUGGUGGGAAACCAGGACCUUUACCUUGAAAAAUUAGAGUGUCAAAGCAGGCUUACGUCUGAAUACAUUAGCAUGGAAUAAUAAAAUAGGACGGUGGUCCUGUUUUGUUGGUUUCUGAAUCACCGUAAUGAUUAAUAGGGAUAGUUGGGGGCAUUAGUAUUCAAUUGUCAGAGGUGAAAAUUCUUGGAUUUAUUGAAGACUAACUUCUGCGAAAGCAUUUGCCAAGGAUGUUUUCAUUAAUCAAGAACGAGAGUUAGGGGGAUUCGAAGACGUCAGAUACCGUCGUAGUCUUAACCAUAAACUAUGCCGACUAGGGAUCGGACGAUGUUAAUCUUUCUUGACUCG
rnacentral:rRNA from 1 species